rnacentral:rRNA from 1 species
UGGGCAACCUGCCCCCGGCUCUGGGAUAACUCCAAGAAAUUGGGGCUAAUACCGGAUAUGACUGCUGACCGCAUGGUCUGGUGGUGGAAAGAUUUUAUCGGCUGGGGAUGGGCCCGCGGCCUAUCAGCUUGUUGGUGGGGUAGUGGCCUACCAAGGCGACGACGGGUAGCCGGCCUGAGAGGAUGAUCAGCCACACUUGGAUUGAGACACGGCCCAGACUCCGUACGGGAG